rnacentral:piRNA from 1 species
UGACUGCUGAUCUCCCUUUAUUUAACA